UAUAAGAUGCCUGAUAAAAAGGAUAAUUUUGAUAGAAUUAAUAAUGUGAAUUUUCACUCUUAUAG
rnacentral:tRNA from 1 species